CACUGGUUCAGGCAUCUCCUAUCCAGCCAAAAGCGUUGCUCCAAGCUCCCACUGGGGGGUGAUGAGCACACUUCCAGCCCCCCCCUGUUCCUCAGAGGAGGGUGCUUGGGUCCUAGCACCCCUGUCCUGCCUGGCAUGAGUGGGAGACGAACCCUGGCAGGGUUGUCAUGGUCAGGUUUGGCCUCAUGGGAGGGACCUUAGCCAUGGGGGGAGCUGCAAGAGGGUGGCAGCUCCCCACCCCAGCAAGGACUGAGCCCUGUCAUGAGUGCGUGGGGUCUCUGCGCUGUCCUCCCUGCGCAGGCAAACCAGAAGCUGAUGAUGCUAAAGCUCGAGCUGUGCAGGAGAUGAUGGAGCGGAUAAAGAACGGGGUGGUCCUGAGGCCCACCAAGGAGCGGGUGCCCCUGGGCCAGGUAGGCAGGGACUGGGGCUUGGCUGCUGCCAGACACCCCCAUCCUGUGGGGGAAUGUCCUUGGGGCGCCCCGGGACUCGGGGUGGGUUUGGGGAGUGUUGGCAGCCUCAGGGAGCUGCAUCUCCUCCCUCUCCUCCCGCAGGGUCCGGCGGCAGCAGCCAGCAAGCGGAGAAGCGCGGCGAUGGAGCUGCAGGUCAUCCUGGGUGCCACGAGGAGGGUGAGCAGGAGGACCAGCGGGCGGAAAAGCAGCCUGAAGGGCAGGGACAAGCAGCUGGAGGCCAUCCUGCAGCGUCGGCGCCGGGCGGUGGAUACCUCUGCACCCGCGCUGCCUGCCCCCCCGCCUGCCCCCCCCCAGCAGGACCAUGGGGAUGCCGGGGCCGCGGGGAGGCCAGAUACCGGUACGGAAUAGGGCUUGGUGGGGAGGGGAUGGGGGGGCUCCGGCUGGAUGUCCUCCUGUGGAGCGACAACGUCCCUAGGGACCAGCACAGAGGUGACAUCCACACGUGUCCCCUUGCUGCCCCACCGCAAGCCCGACUGGUGCUCUGCAGUCCCAUCCUGUCACCGUUGCGGGUGACAAGCUGUGGGGCAAUGACACGGGUCCUCACAGACUCUGCUCUUGCUCUCACCCAGCUCCGUGUCUCUCCUCUCUCUGUCUCUUCCCAGGGAAAAAGGACAUCAGGACAGCUCCAUCCGGGUACCUCCAGGGGAGUGAGGAUGGGGUCCCAUUCAGACGCCGGGCAGGGGGUGGCCUGCCCAGGACCCGGCCACCUUCCCGCCUGGCCGCAGGCAGGGGGGAGCCAGGGUAGAGGCAGCUGCCCACCGCGCUGCCCUUCGCCCAGCAUCACCGGAGCUGCACGGCCAUGGCGGGGCGAGGAAGGGGCACGGCGGCAGGGACAAGUGCUGCAAGCUUUCAGCCUGGUUUUCCAGCAGCUUGCAGCCUCUUGUGCUCCAAUUAAAGUGAGGUGGCACUGGGUCCAUGCAUGCCAUGUUGUCACUAGGAAGGGCACGUCUGCUGGGUGAGGGGGUGGCAGUGGGACGGGACUGGGG
rnacentral:lncRNA from 1 species